ACGCUCGACACCUACGGUAGGCAGCAGUAGGGAAUCUUCCACAAUGGGCGCAAGCCUGAUGGAGCAACACCGUGUGAGUGAAGAAGGGUUUCGGCUCGUAAAGCUCUGUUGUUGGAGAAGAACGUGCGUGAGAGUAACUGUUCACGCAGUGACGGUAUCCAACCAGAAAGUCACGGCUAACUACGUGCUAGCAGCCGCGGUAAUCUGAGCGGGCUGGCAAGGC
rnacentral:rRNA from 1 species